UACGUAGGGUGCAAGCGUUUAAUCGGAAUUACUGGGCGUAAAGCGUGCGCAGGCGGUUUUGUAAGUUUGUCGUGAAAUCCCCGGGCUCAACCUGGGAAUUGCGAUGAAGACUGCAAGGCUAGAAUCUGGCAGAGGGGGGGUAGAAUUCCACGUGUAGCAGUGAAAUGCGUAGAGAUGUGGAGGAACACCGGAUGGCGAAGGCAGCCCCCUGGGUCAAGAUUGACGCUCAUGCACGAA
rnacentral:rRNA from 1 species